CCCUUAGACACUCUAGGCGGCACGCGCGCUACAAUGGGUGGAAGAACGUGUUACUGCCUCCGAAAGGAGGGGUGAAUCACGAAUUCUUGCCCGUGAAUGGGAUAGUUUGUUGCAAUUUUCGGACUUGAACUAGGAAUCCCUUGUAAACAUGCUCGAGAAUAGCGUGUUGAAUACGUCCCUGCCGUUUGUACACACCGCCCGUCGUUUCUUCCGACUGAUACUCAUUGUGAGUUGCAAGGACCCUUUAUUGGGAAAUUGCUGCAAAUGCUUUGUAUUGGAGGAAGAAAAAGUCGUAACA
rnacentral:rRNA from 1 species